CUGCGGCCUAUCAGGUAGUUGGCGGGGUAAUAGCCCACCAAGCCUAUGACGGGUAUCCGGCCUGAAAGGGUGAACGGACACACUGGAACUGAGACACGGUCCAGACUCCUACGGGAGGCAGCAGUGGGGAAUUUUGGACAAUGGGGGAAACCCUGAUCCAGCGACGCCGCGUGGAGGACGAAGGUCUUCGGAUUGUAAACUCCUUUUAGAGGGGAAGAAUAAACUGACGGUACCCUCAGAAAAAGCCACGGCUAACUUCGUGCCAGCAGCCGCGGUAAUACGAAGGUGGCGAGCGUUACUCGGAAUUACUAGGCGUAAAGCGUAUGUAGGCGGUCAGAUAAGUCUCCAGUGAAAUUUCCCGGCUCAACCGGGACAGGCCUGGGGAUACUGUUUGGCUUGAGUGUGGCAGGGGUAGACGGAAUUCCUGGUGUAGCGGUGAAAUGCGUAGAUAUCAGGAGGAACACCGAUGGCGAAGGCAGUCUACUGGGCCAAUACUGACGCUAAUGUACGAAAGCUAGGGUAGCAAACAGGAUUAGAUACCCUGGUAGUCCUAGCUGUAAACGAUGUUCACUAGAUGUGGGAGGUAUCGACCCCUUCCGCGUCGACGCUAACGCAUUAAGUGAACCGCCUGGGGAGUACGGCCGCAAGGUUGAAACUCAAAGGAAUUGACGGGGGCCCGCACAAGCGGUGGAGUAUGUGGUUUAAUUCGACGCAACGCGAAAAACCUUACCUGGGCUUGAACUGCUAAUGGUAAAAACCGGAAACGGCAAUGACCCGCAAGGGAGUUAGCAGAGGUGCUGCAUGGCUGUCGUCAGCUCGUGUCGUGAGAUGUUGGGUUAAGUCCCGCAACGAGCGCAACCCUUAUCCCAUGUUACCCGUAGCAAUACGGGGUCUCUGAGGAAACUGCCAUUGAUAAAAUGGAGGAAGGUGGGGACGACGUCAAGUCAUCAUGGCCUUUAUGUCCAGGGCUACACACGUACUACAAUGGUCGGUACAGAGGGCAGCGAGAUCGCAAGAUGGAGCAAAUCCCUAAAAGCCGGCCUCAGUUCAGAUUGUGGGCUGCAAUUCGCCCACAUGAAGUAGGAAUCGCUAGUAAUCGCAGAUCAGCA
rnacentral:rRNA from 1 species